rnacentral:rRNA from 1 species
UGGGGAAUUUUUCGCAAUGGGGGAAACCCUGACGAAGCAACGCCGCGUGGAGGAUGAAGGCCUUCGGGUCGUAAACUCCUGUCGACCGGGACGAAAGUGGUUCGACCUAAUACGUCGAGCCAUCGACUGUACCGGUGGAGGAAGCCACGGCUAACUCUGUGCCAGCAGCCGCGGUAAUACGUAGGGACCAAGCGUUGUUCGGAUUUACUGGGCGUAAAGGGCGCGUAGGCGGCAUGACAAGUCACUUGUGAAAUCUCUGGGCUUAACCCAGAACGGCCAAGUGAUACUGUCGCGCUAGAGUGCAGAAGGGGCAAUCGGAAUUCUUGGUGUAGCGGUGAAAUGCGUAGAUAUCAAGAGGAACACCUGAGGUGAAGACGGGUUGCUGGGCUGACACUGACGCUGAGGCGCGAAAGCCAGGGGAGCAAACGGGAUUAGAUACCCAUGUAGUCCCUGAGCGGGCUGGCAAGGCG